GAUAAACGCUGGCGGCGUGCCUAAUACAUGCAAGUCGAACGAGGAAGAUCAAGCUUGCUUGAUUGACCGAGUGGCGAACGGGUGAGUAAUACAUAAGCAACCUGCCUGUAAGGACCGGGAUAACACUUGGAAACGAGCGCUAAUACCGGAUAGGUAAUAUGAGGGCAUCCUCGUAUUAUUAAAGGUUCAAAACACAAACAGAUGGGCUUAUGGUGCAUUAGCCAGUUGGCGGGGUAACGGCCCACCAAAGCGAUGAUGCAUAGCCGGCCUGAGAGGGUGAACGGCCACAUUGGGACUGAGACACGGCCCAGACUCC
rnacentral:rRNA from 1 species